rnacentral:rRNA from 1 species
AGUGAACGCUAGCGACAGGCUUAACACAUGCAAGUCGAGGGGCAGCAUAAAAGUAGCAUACUUGGUGGCGACCGGCGCACGGGUGAGUAACGCGUAUGCAACCUACCUAUCAGAGGGGAAUAACCCGGCGAAAGUCGGACUAAUACCGCAUAAAACAGGGGCACCGCAUGGUGAUAUUUGUUAAAGAAAUUCGCUGAUAGAUGGGCAUGCGUUCCAUUAGGUAGUUGGUGAGGUAACGGCUCACCAAGCCGACGAUGGAUAGGGGAACUGAGAGGUUGGUCCCCCACACUGGUACUGAGACACGGACCAGACUCCUACGGGAGGCAGCAGUGAGGAAUAUUGGUCAAUGGGCGGGAGCCUGAACCAGCCAAGUCGCGUGGAAAAGGAAGAAGGAUCUAUGGUUCGUAAACUUCUUUUGCAGGGGAAUAAAGUGCAGGACGUGUCCUGUUUUGUAUGUACCCUGAGAAUAAGGAUCGGCUAACUCCGUGCCAGCAGCGGC